rnacentral:rRNA from 1 species
UACAGAGGGUGCAAGCGUUAAUCGGAAUUACUGGGCGUAAAGCGUGCGCAGGCGGUUUCUUAAGUCAGGCGUGAAAGCCCCGGGCUUAACCUGGGAAUGGCGCUUGAAACUACAGGACUGGAGUAUGGCAGAGGGAGGUGGAAUUCCACGUGUAGCGGUGAAAUGCGUAGAGAUGUGGAGGAACACCGAUGGCGAAGGCAGCCUCCUGGGCCAAUACUGACGCUCAUGCACGAAAGCGUGGGGAGCGAACAGG